rnacentral:rRNA from 1 species
GUUAAGCGACUAAGCGUACACGGUGGAUGCCCUGGCAGUCAGAGGCGAUGAAGGGCGUGCUAAUCUGCGAUAAGCGCCGGUAAGGUGAUAUGAACCGUUAUAACCGGCGAUACCCGAAUGGGGAAACCCAGUGUGAUUCGUCACACUAUCAUUAACUGAAUCCAUAGGUUAAUGAGGCGAACCGGGGGAACUGAAACAUCUAAGUACCCCGAGGAAAAGAAAUCAACCGAGAUUCCCCCAGUAGCGGCGAGCGAACGGGGAGGAGCCCAGAGCCUGAAUCAGCAUGUGUGUUAGUGGAAGCGUCUGGAAAGGCGCGCGAUACAGGGUGACAGCCCCGUACACAAAAGCGCAUGUGCUGUGAGCUCGAUGAGUAGGGCGGGACACGUGGUAUCCUGUCUGAAUAUGGGGGGACCAUCCUCCAAGGCUAAAUACUCCUGACUGACCGAUAGUGAACCAGUACCGUGAGGGAAAGGCGAAAAGAACCCCGGCGAGGGGAGUGAAAAAGAACCUGAAACCGUGUACGUACAAGCAGUGGGAGCCCCAC